rnacentral:rRNA from 1 species
GAUGAACGCUGGCGGCGUGCUUAACACAUGCAAGUCGAACGAAGCACUUUAUUUGAUUUCCUUCGGGACUGAUUAUUUUGUGACUGAGUGGCGGACGGGUGAGUAACGCGUGGGUAACCUGCCUUGUACAGGGGGAUAACAGUUGGAAACGGCUGCUAAUACCGCAUAAGCGCACAGCAUCGCAUGAUGCAGUGUGAAAAACUCCGGUGGUAUAAGAUGGACCCGCGUUGGAUUAGCUAGUUGGUGAGGUAACGGCCCACCAAGGCGACGAUCAAUAGCCGACCGGAGAGGGUGACCGGCCACAUUGGGACUGAGACACGGCCCAAACGCCUACGGGAGGCAGCAGUGGGGAAUAUUGCACAAUGGGCGAAAGCCUGAUGCAGCGACGCCGCGUGAGCGAAGAAGUAUUUCGGUAUGUAGAGCUCUAUCAGCAGGGAAGAUAAUGACGGUACCUGACUAAGAAGCACCGGCUAAAUACGUGCCAGCAGCCGCGGUAA